rnacentral:rRNA from 1 species
AUGGAAGUGAAUAUCAGCAGGAUAAUAUCUUUGAAUGGUACAAAUUAUCAAGCAUGGAAGGGCAAGAUGGAGGACUUGUUGUAUGUGAAAGAAUACUGGAAGCCAGUGUUCUCCACUGAGAUGCCAGAGGGCAUUGAGGAAGGUCAGUGGAAGGUAUUUCAUCGCCAAGCUUGUGGGUUCAUCCGGCAAUGGGUCGAUGACAAUGUUUUAAACCAUAUCAUUGAUGAGACACAUGCACGCACCUUAUGGCAGAAAUUGGAAGAGUUGUUUCCCCGAAAAGAAGGUACAAACAAGAUGUUCUUGAUCAAACAAUUGAUAUGCUUGAGGUACAAAGAGGGCAUUCUAAUUGCAGAUCAUGUGAAUACAUUCCAAGGCAUUAUAAAUCAGCUUUCUUCAAUGGGAAUAACAUUUGAAGAUGAAGUGAGAGCUUUGCUGCUACUAGGCUCAUUACCGGACAGCUGGGAGACCUUUAAGGUCACGGUUUGCAAUUCAGCACCUAAUGAAGUUGUCACUUGGAAUCUUGUGAAAACCAGGGUACUAAAUGAAGAGUCUGGAAAGGUGGCUGAAGCUAGUUCUUCCUCACAUUCAGAGGUGCUAGUCACUCAGUCCAGGGGGAGAAGCAAGAGCAGAGGUCCAGGUAAAGGGGUAGAAAGAGGUAGGAGCAAAUCAAAAAGUAAGUAUGCUGAUUAUGAGUGA